rnacentral:rRNA from 1 species
GGGCUGUUCCGCGGCUACCAUGCAGUCGAGGGGUAUAUAAUGCUUGCAUUAUAGAGACCGGCGCACGGGUGAGUAACGCGUAUGGAAUCUGCCUUGUACAGGGGAAUAGCCCAGGGAAACUUGGAUUAAUGCCCCAUAGUAUUAUGAGACGGCAUUGUUUUAUAAUUAAAGAUUUAUCGGUACAAGAUGAUCAUGCGUCCCAUUAGCUUGUUGGUGUGGUAACGGCACACCAAGGCUACGAUGGGUAGGGGCCCUGAGAGGGGGAUCCCCCACACUGGUACUGAGACACGGACCAGACUCCUACGGGAGGCAGCAGUGAGGAAUAUUGGACAAUGGGCGAGAGCCUGAUCCAGCCAUGCCGCGUGCAGGAAGACUGCCCUAUGGGUUGUAAACUGCUUUUUUACGGGAAGAAACACCAUUACGUGUAGUGGCUUGACGGUACCGUAAGAAUAAGGACCGGCUAACUCCGUGCCAGCAGCCGCGGUAAUACGGAGGGUCCGAGCGUUAUCCGGAAUCAUUGGGUUUAAAGGGUCCGUAGGCGGGCAAUUAAGUCAGUGGUGAAAGUCUGCAGCUCAACUGUAGAAUUGCCAUUGAUACUGGUUGUCUUGAAUCGUUGUGAAGUGGCUAGAAUAUGUGGUGUAGCGGUGAAAUGCUUAGAUAUCACAUAGAAUACCGAUUGCGAAGGCAGGUCACUAACAACGUAUUGACGCUGAUGGACGAAAGCGUGGGGAGCGAACAGGAUUAGAUACCCUGGUAGCCCACGCCGUAAACGAUGGAUACUAGCUGUCCGGCUCACAUUGGUGAGCUGGGUGGCCAAGCGAAAGUGAUAAGUAUCCCACCUGGGGGAGUACGUUCGCAAGAAUGAAACUCAAAGGAAUUGACGGGGGCCCGCACAAGCGGUGGAGCAUGUGGUUUAAUUCGAUGAUACGCGAGGAACCUUACCAGGGCUUAAAUGUAGUCUGACAGGAUUGGAAACAGUCUUUUCUUCGGACAGAUUACAAGGUGCUGCAUGGUUUGUCGUCAGCUCGUGCCGUGAGGUGUCAGGUUAAGUCCUAUAACGAGCGCAACCCCUUGUUGUUAGUUGCCAGCGAGUCAAGUCGGGAACUCUACAAGACUGCCCGGUGCAAACCGUGAAGAAGGUGGGAUGACGUCAAAUCAUCACGCCUUUACGUCCUGGGCCACACACGUGCUACAAAUGGCAAGUAACAAAUGGGCAGCCACUUACGCCAAGGUAG